AUUGCUGAUGCGUUGUCUCGUUCACAGUGGGAGAGAUUUCAGCAGGUGGCACCUGGCGCACGGGAGGAAGGGAUGUCUUGCCCGGACGAGAUGUGGCGGCUCGGGACAUCAUGCUUGGCGGACUGAUCAGGGAUUCCCUGGCACCCGCUACCUGGGCGGCAUACAGUAAGGUGUGGGGGGAAUGGGACGAACUGGUGCAGCAGACAGGGG